UAAUAUGACGGACGGUAUUAAGUGGUCAUAAAAAAAAACACGACCCACCCACCUUAUUUCCAACCCUAUCUCUAUCUCUAUCUAUCCGUCUUCGUCUUCAAUUCGUUUAGUAAUUUUUGUUUUUUGAUUGAAUUCUUUGAAGCUAUGGCGAAACGGUGGAUGUUAAGCCGCACUUUCUCUGAUUUGAAGGAGGUUCGAUCGAUUUCUGAGCCAAUCACCGUCGCAGGCUGGGUGAGUUGCUGAGGUUGCUUGCAUCUUCACCUCCUCUGGCCUGCUAGUAGCAGGGUUCCGCAGUAGGUGCUUUUGCUGUGCUUGAUCAUUGUUGCUGACUGCUGUAUUUUCAGUAUGUGAGAGGUUUGGGGAUAUAUUCAUUUCUUGGGUUAUGAGAUUUGCGUUUGAGUUCCAGAUUUGAAGUUGGUUACGAUCCAGAUACCAGAUUUGAAGUCCGUUUUGGUUCUAGAUUUUUGUUGUGGAGUUUAAAGUGUACAUGUGAUUAUAUGAGAUUUUUUUAAGAUUUUGUUCUAAGUAUACUAGAAUUUAGUUCUAGAAUUAUUUUUUCACUUGUAUCUACAUUUAUUAUCAAUAAUAAUUGAAUUGAUUAA